CUUUGUUUCAAACUGCUAUUUGUAUGAUUUCGUAUUUAAAUUCUUGAAUAAAGCAUCUUAUUGAUUAAAAAUACACAUAAUUUGACCAUCAGAGAUACAUAUGUAUAUCAAAUUCUAUAAUAUAACACAACCAACCUACAAAUCAACAAGAACAUAACAACUAUAAGAACGAUAUAUUUUGCUUAAAUUCUUACUGUUUCAUUUUUCUGAAAACAUAAAUUUGACAUGCCUUCUCUCUUUUUUAACAGCCUCCACCUCCACCUCAACAACCGCCGUCUCCGCCUCCACCUCCACAACCGCCGCCUCCGCCUCCACCUCCAUAACCGCCGCCUCCUCCACCUGUAUAACCGCCGCCUCCAGGUCUAGGACUUCCUGAGCUAUCACCACAAGCAAAUAUGACCAUUGAUAUAAGUGAGAGGGACAUGAGAAUCAUGCAGAGAAAAAGUAGCCCGCCCGAGUUGUGAUCUGGCAUCAUGAUAGCUACUUCGCCUGCAUGGCCACCACCUAGACCAACGUAUGUUCUAGCCAUUGUUUCUCAGUGAGUUGCAAAUUAAUUACAAGAUUAUACAGCUUAACUAUAUGUGUGUCUGUGUGUGUGAGUGUGUCUGUGUGUGUGUGUUUAUAUAUGUGCAUAUAUAUACAUAUAUAUAUAUAUAUAAAUAAUGUAUGUAUGCUAUUGAAAAUUCAUAUAUAAUCUUUUUUAACAGCUUCCACCUCCGCCUCCACCUCCACAACCGCCGCCUCCGCCUCCACCUCCACAACCGCCAGCUCCACCUGUAUAACCGCCGCCUCUAGGUCUAGGUUUUCCUGAGCUAUCACCACAAGCAAAUAUGACCAUUGAUAUAAGUGAGAGGGACAUGAGAAUCAUGCAGAGCAAAAGUAGCCCGCCCGAGUUGUGAUCUGGCAUCAUGAUAGCUACUUCGCCUGCAUGGCCACCACCUAGACCAACGUAUGUUCUAGCCAUUGUUUCUCAGUGAGUUGCAAAUUAAUUACAAGAUUAUACAGCUUAACUAUAUGUGUGUCUGUGUGUGUGAGUGUGUCUGUGUGUGUGUGUUUAUAUAUGUGUAUAUAUAUACAUAUAUAUAUAUAUAAUUAAUGUAUGUAUGCUAUUGAAAAUUCAUAUAUAAUCUUAGUGUUGACUUGAAAUCAUGAUAUUUAAAGUCUUUGGUUGAAAAUUCAAUAAUGUUAGGCUCAUGGAUACUUCUUUGAAGUUUCAUUCUUGAGAACAGAACGAGAAUUUAUCGUAUAUAGCCAAAAUUUAAUAUAUAAAUUAAAAAAUGUCAAUUUUUAUAAAAAUCUCAAAUAUAGUCAAAACUCCACUUGAAUAGACCCAAUUGCUUUAAUGAAACUUGUUUUGACAUGAAAUAUUAAUGCCAAAUACCCAUUCAAAUUCAUGGAUAACCACCCAUUCAAAUUCAAGUGGGUCAUUAUUAAUGUCAGUUUCAUUAUUAAUGUUACGUUCAUGAAAGUACUUCUUUGAAUAUUAAUGCCAAAUACCCAUUCAAAUUCAAGCGGGUCAUUAUUAAUGUCAGUUUCAUUAUUAAUGUUAGGUUCAUGAAUACUUCUUUGAAUUUAGCAUAUAAAUUCAAAAAUGUCAAUUUUUAUAAAAUACUUCUUUUAAUUACGUCAAAACCCUUUCAAAUCUUGUGUCAUUGUUGAUGAGGUUUUGGGAGUGGUAAACUGGACACGCAUGAAUGUAUAUUAGUUACAGUGAUGGUUGAACAAGGAAGACACCAUGAACGUACGUCAGUUGCACCAUUGCGAAGAUGGAAACGCAUUCUACUUGUUAUAUAUAAAGAGAGAAGAAAAUGUGAAUAGUGUUUUGAUGUCACCAAGCUUCAACAAAAAGAAUUGGACAAAAAUGCUCCCAAAACAAAAAACUUCAAAAGCAUCUCAAAAUAAUGCAUCAAAUAAGGCAGAGGCAUUUUCGUCAUUUUAAUAGUAUUUUUUUUAAUAAUUAAUUGUGUGUGUGUGUGUUUUUUUUUUUAACAAUCAAGGUAUUAAAUAUCAGUAAUAUCGGAAAUAUCGGUAGUCCGAAAACACGGAAAUAUCGAUGGAAAUAUCGGGAUAAUAUCGAUAUCGAUAAAAAUUACAUGGAAACCACGAAAAUUGUAAAAAAAACUUGGAAAUUUUUAUUGAAACUUUGCAGGAUGUUUAUUUAGUCAAUUAUCUAUUAGUUUAUCACAAAAAAUUGGAAGGAAAUGCAUUGCAUGAUGGAUUUAACAUUAUCAAGUUGAUUAUAUAGCGAGCUGACAAACAUUGUGAGUGUAGAAAAUAUGUAGUAAUUAAUGAAAGAAGUUUAAAUACACCAAUUGGGGCUUAUUGCAGCAAGUUUUUUAGAUAUGACCUCGCAUCAAGUCGUCUUUUGUGUUAAUUUGCAAUCUUAACUGGUUUUGUUGUGUUGUGUCAAUUAGUUAAAUUAAGCGGUACAUCCAAUUGGGGCUUAUAAACAUUUUAAUUCUCGUUAAAAAUCUAAGGGCAUUUAAUCAGGAUUUUAAGUGAUUCUUUAAAGUUUAAGGGGUAUUCGAUCAUGAUUUUUAAGAAAUUCAUACAUUCCAAAUGUAUUCAUUUAGAAAUUGAUUCGAAGAGAUUUUUAAAAAGUUGGGAAACUCGAAAAAAUUAGAAAUAUUUCACAUAAUAUUUUAAACAUUCUCAAAUCGCUCCCUGAAAAUUUGAGGGAAUUCACUUAAAAUUUUACAUAAAAGUUUUAAAAAUUAUUAAACUUCAUCAAAAUUCAUAAAUUUUUAAAUCUAUUAUAAUCCUUUAAAAUCUGAAUGGAGUAAAAAAUUCAAAUCUAAACCUAAUAUGAAACAAUCACUAAAUUACAUAGAAUUUCUAAACCAAAUCUAACAAGGAUCAAUUACAAUUCUAAUACGAUGUUGUAAUUACUUGAAGUUUUUUAGGGCAAUAUAAGUAGAUGAUUUGGGGGCCUGAAACUUGCUUAAAUCCCUAAAUUGCCAAUUGAAACGAGAAAGAAGAGAAGACAGAGAGAACGAGUCAACGAUCCCUCCUCCUCCUCAUCGCCCUCCUCUCCCUCUUCGCAAUCUCCGCCCCUGCAAAACCCUAUUCGUUUCCUACUACUCCUUCUCCCUCCGCCGCCUCCCCUCCUCCUCUUCCUCCUCCGGCUUCGUCACCAUCGUCACCGAGAUCAACCAGAUCCUACCCGAGACCCCCUUUCUUUCUUCUUCUCUUUCUUUCCUUCUCUGCACACUCUCUUCUCUCUCGAAACCCUCUCAUCACUCUCACUCUUUCUCCUGUGAUUACCCUAGUACACGGCACCCACACCAUCGUUCUGUAGACGGUAUCACCAUCAAAACCUCGUAUUUCUCUCUCUUCCUCUUGUCUCUGCAAGAUCAACGAAACCCAGAAACCUCCGGCGAGUUUUCUUCAUUUUCUCCGGUUGGGUAAGCUUGGGUGUGUGUUAUGGAACGAGAUCAGGUCGGGGGAAAGCUCACCCAACUCCGGCGAACCCGUGACUGUUGAGGAGCUUUCCGAACACCUUCGGCCAUUUCACGGCGAACCAAGGGUAUAAACUUACUCCUCUCUCUUUCCUCUUCACGUUGGUAAUUAGAUCGGAGUCUAAGGUUUGCGUUUGUAAUCGGUCGAAGCUGUAGAAGCUCCGGCGUUCUUUUCCAAGUAGCACAGUUCCAAAAUAUCGCGAUAGUUUCGGAAAUAUCGCGAUAUUAUCGAUAAUAUCGAUAUAUCGCGAUAUUUUGACGUUGUGAUCGGAUCAUAUUUAUAUGUAUUUUUACUUCGAAUUCACUCGUCUUUUCUUAGUUGGUUCCUUAUAUUUUUGAGCUAUUUACAUAUUUUUGUGUUUAUAGGAUUUGUUAUGCAAAGAAAAUAAAAAUAGAACAAGUGAAAUUUUAUGUAAUAAAUUCGUCAAAACUGUCUGUGUAGAUCAGCUUUUAAAUAAAAUUAAAAAAAAAAUAAAUAAAUAAUAAUAAUGAUAAAUCAUGAUGAUGUUUGAAACAUCAUCAUGAUUCAUGUUUUGUAAAAGAAGAGAGCAACAAAUACAAAUGGCAAGGUGGAAUCGAGAAAGCCAGAGCGUUAUUCAUCAGCCGCAUCAUUAUCUCCUGAUGCACGCCUGCGCAUUGUUUCUGAGCGCAUGGACAUUGUUGAUAACCUCAUCAUUUCCAUUUCGAUAGGUCCCCGAAUUCAAAGAUUAUAAAAUCACAAGACAAGAGUACAUGGACUGAAAAAGACGUUGCUGAUUCUCUCAUGGCAGAAACGGAAUGUACAGCAGAAAAAGAAAAUAAAAUAGUGGAGCACUGAGGCAGUGCGGAAAGAGGUCAGAGGCACUGGCAGACUGGAGGAAUAAGAAAUAAGAAAAGCAAAUGGGACGGUAGUGGGGAGUAGGUCAGAAAUAAAAGAAGAAUAAAAUAGGGAAAAUGAGGGGGAAUAAGAGGCCUCGGGGAAGAACAGAGACAGGGGGCGCGGGAGAGAGCUGCCCUUGGCAGCGUGAGUGAAAGGAGAAGGCUGCCUUUGGGCAGCGUGAGAAGGACAGGAACAGAAGCAGCUGAGCUGCGUGGAGAGAGAAACCGAGGGAGUCCACACAGACAGCCACACGGACAGAAGAGCGCAGGAGAGCUGAGGGAGGACAGACAGCUGCCCUUGGCAGCGUGAGUGCACAGGAAAAAAGGCAGCAUAGGCGAGAGGUCAGUACGCAAGAAGGGAAGGCAGGCGAGAGAGGUCAGCAAGAGGAAAGCUGCCAUUUGGCAGCAUGAGAAUGGGGAGGAUGGAUAGAGUGAAGACUUGCGAGGAGCUGCGGGAAAGAAGGAGGUCAGAGUCAGUACGGGACAGCAAGAAUAAGGAGGGCACGAACGCAGCAGAUCAUCCUCUUUCGGUUUAAUCUUUCCAAAUUUCUAUUUUAUUUUUGUUUUAAUAAUGUGUAAUUAAAUUUAUUUUGGCUAGAGGUUAAUUCAAAGCCAUGAAUAUAUUUGUAAUAUGAAUUGAUUACCUUCAGUUGUGAUUUAAUUUGCUUAACUGCUUGAUUGAUAACUUAUUUUUGUAUGUCGAUUAAGGAUGCAUACUUAAUUUACAUGCAUGAAUUUGAUGCUAGAAUAUAAGUGAAUUUCACCUAAUCGUUAUGAACUUAUAUUCACAAGUAGUAAAGGUUGCUAGUCACAAUCACGUUAAGUAAAUUCUUGGCAUAAGUUUCAUGCAAAUCAUAGUAACGAGUGCCUCGUCAAUGUUUAUGUUUUUCAUAGAACUUAAUGAUUCUUGCUUGUAUCUCUAUUAUGCAAUUCAUGUGGGGAACUUGUAGGGAAUGUUUUGGGUUGUCGUAUGCAAUCAUCCAACCCAAUAACUUGUGGAAAAACUGAGGGUUAAUUAGUGCAAUUCACGGUUAAUUUGGGGCGUUGAGAUUCACAAUUUAUUGAAAGAACAACUGAAAAUCAAUUUAGGUUGCAUAUGUGUCAUGUGUGGAGAAGAACCCUCUAGCUAGUCCAUCACCUAUCCUUUCACCUUAAUUUCAUGUUUUUGUCAAUUCUGUAAUUUAUUUAAGUUUAAUUUACUUCUCGUCAAAACCAAACACCCAUCCAUUAUUAAAUUAUAUUAUUUAGUGAGUUUUCAUUAUUGUUAGUCUUUUAAUUCAAUUUCCGUCCAUUUCAGUUCAUAGUGUCUAAUUUGAUUGUUUUCAUUAUUUUGAGCCAUUCUAAGUGUGUUUCGAGUUAUUAGAGUUUUUAGCCUAGUUUUGUGUCCUUGAGUCUUGUUUAAUAUUUUUAAAUUAAUUUAGAAUAGAUUAGCAAUCCCUCCUAAUCCCCGGCCUAGAACGAUACCCUACUUACAUCUAUACUACAAUUGUCAAAAAGAGGGUUUAAUUUGUGUGUCAAGUAAUUCUCACAUCACGUUGGAUACCUAUUAAAAUCGGUACCGUGAAAAACCGAUAAUAUCGACGAAAUAUCGCCGAUAUUAUCGGCAUUUUGUUCCUUGAUCACAAUAGGCUAGCAAUAAUGUGAUUCAAUUUCUGUAAUACCCCGUAUUUAAAAAAAAGGUUAUAUAUAUAUAUAUAUAUAUAUGGGUGUAUGUUGGGUAUUUAUUUUUACGUAAGGAUUUUAUUAGAUUUUUUUUAUGCAAAAACCUACUUUCGAUAUGUAAAAUAGUCUCAAUGUAAAAUCCUUUUUGCUACAAAUUAUUUCAAAAACUAGCUAGUAGUAUUUCAUGUUCAUAUGUAAUUAGAGAUAUUUUUAGUUUGAGUUGGAGAAGGGGAUUAUGAUGAGUUUGGCUUUACUUUUCUCACAAAGGCUAAGUAGAGUUUUGCCAACUAUUAGAGAAUAAAGAGAAGGGGUUAGUCACCACUCUAGAUAGGUUAAGGUGGAAGUUGGUAAUUAAUAGAAGCUAAUAAUUAGGGUGUGGAGGUGGGAAGCCUUUGGCUUAUAUGUGUGGCUAGGUGUUGAGUUUGGUUUGAUAUUUUUACCAAGUAGGAGUGAGUGGGCAAGUUGAGUUAAUGUAGAGAGAUUACCCACCCCUAAACAUUGGAGAGGUGUGAGUCUAUAUAGAGCCAUAGACUAGGUAUGUGUAUGUAUUGGCAUGCAUGUGGCAAUGUGUUGUUGUUUUAGAGUGCUUACUCACUAGCCAAGGAGAAUUUCAAUUAAUUGUCUAUAUUCUCUCUUCAAUGCUUUAAAUCUAUCAUUCCAAAUUUUCCAAUGAGGUAAGAACGGGUGGGAUGCAUAUCCCUUAGACUUUGGACGUGGCUUUUGAGUGUUUGUUCACCUUGCAUGAUAUUGAUUAGCUUCACAUUUGUUGUUUUGCUAUUGGACCACAUAUCAUGGUUGAUAAUUGGUGAGGAUUCAUUCCCCCAAAUUGUUUGGACGUGGCCUUUGGGUGCAAGGAACAUCUUGCAUAUUAUUCAUUAAUUCAUAAUUAGCUUCACACUUGUUUUUCUAUUGGACCACAUUUCAUUGCUAAGGAUUGGGACAACAUUUGUUGUCUUGUGAUUGGAACACAUUUCAUGGUAAUGAUUAGCACAACACUUGCUUUCUUUCCAUUGGCACACAUGUGGAGAUUCUUUGGAGAAGAAGAUGUCAUGCAAUCUACAUAAAGGAAUGAGAAAAGAAACAAUGGAAGGACAUAGAGGAAGAAGGAAGAGAAGAGAGAUGAAGAAGAAGAAGAAGAAGAAGAAAAGGAAGAAAAAGUACAACUCCAAUAAAAAGCCAUCCUCCCUUUCAUAUUACCCAAUUACCUUUCUUUUACAUAUUGUUAAGGCUUUAAGCCAUCCUUCAUUGUAUUUGUAAAGUCCCUCAUAUAAAUAGUGAAAUACAAUAAAAGCAAACCUCAGUGGAUGUAGUCGAAUUGGCGAACCACUUAAAUCUUGUGUUGUUCAUGCUUUUACAUUUUGAGAUCAUUACCAUGGGAAGCACUUCAACCACAUCAUCAAAAUCUCCAUUUAUUUUCCUUGAGGAUGAUGUACAAAAAGUGAGAGACAAAUCCCAGAGAAAUACAUGAAACCUUACCCAACAAAUCUCCACCAAACUCCAUCUAUCAAAAGAAAGAUAUUCAAAAACUAGAAAUUCGUUCAGCCUAUUUAACAGACCAAAACACCAUCAUCCAUAGAUUAUACCAUACUACUUUCUUCAAGAGACUUGUUUGUCUGUCUCUCUACCAUGAUAUAUCAAAAUUUUAGGAAAUUCCAACGGUGCAAUCUUCCAAUAUGUUUAAAAUACCAACUCAGUCUCUAAUCCCGCAGGAAACUGGACGGCCAUGUUAUGAGCACUAAAACCCCAUUUUUCGUAGCUCCAGUCGAAACACUUCCUUAACAAAAGUUGUUCCUUAUAAACUCCUCUAUAACAUAUCCAAAAACCAUGAUAAUAUAAUCUAUGUGCUGAUUUAUAUCCCAGUUCGAAUAGCUGAUAGUUUCAGCUAUAUUAUAAAGUAGAAGAAGAAGAAGUGGUGGGGUAAAAUAAAAAUAAAAGAUGAUGUUUGGAAAGGGAAAAGCUAGAAACAUGAUUCCAUGCCUUGUGGCCUUUGAGACAUAUAUUUCACUCUAAAAAUUAUUUUCUCUAACAUGGAUGUCUAUUCUUUUCUAAUAAAAACAGGUUGCCCGACCAAGAUGGACGAGACGUUGGAAAAACAUAUAUGGAGUGAGCAACAUUAUAUAUGAUGGAUUAUAAAUUAUUACUUUGUUAUUAAUAUUAUGAUUAUAUUAUUCUUGUUACUAAUCAAUUUGAUUUAUGUUGAAGCUUGUAGGCUUGUAAGAUAAAGUGUGAGAAUUGACAUCUAUGUGAACAUGACAUAUACAUAUGCAUUGCAAAGCAAGAAAAAAAGUUGUGUUGAGUUUGUAAAGUGUUUGAGGUGUGAGGAUAUUCAAGGGCUGAAGUUUGCCUUGAAUAAUAAUGAACCUUGUAUAUGUCAGGCGUAUGGUGCAGGGCUUGAGUAUACAAUUGGUUGAUUAUUGUCACAUCCUGGUCCGGGCCCCCCACCACAUCUCGGGCUUGAUUCCGCCGUAGCACGAUAUUGUUCUCUUUGGGCCCCGACCAUGUCCUCACGGUUUUGUUUCUAGGAACUCACAUGAGAACUUCCCAUUAGGUCACCCAUCUUGGGAUUGCUCUUGCGCAAACUCGCUUAACUUCGAAGUUCCGAUGGAACCCGAAGCCAGUGAGCUCCCAAAAGGCCUCGUGCUAGGUAGAGAUGGGAAUAUACAUAUAAGGCUUAUAGGAUCCACUCCCCUGAGUGAUGUGGGACGUCACAAUCCAUCCCCCUUAGGGGCUCGACGUCCUCGUUGACACACAUCUAGCCAGGGAUUGGCUCUGAUACCAAAUUGCCACAUCCCGGCCUAGGCUCCCACCACAUCACAGGCUCGACUCCGCCGUAACACGAUAUUGUCCGCUUUGGGCCUCGACCACGCCCUCAUGGUUUUGUUUCUAGGAACUCACACGAGAACUUCCCAGUGGGUCACCCAUCCUGGGAUUGCUCUCGCGCGAACUUACUUAACUUCGAAGUUCUGAUGGAACCCAAAGCCAGUGAGCUCCCAAAAGGCCUCGUGCUAGGUAGAGAUCAGAAUAUACAUAUAAGGCUUAUAGGAUCCACCCCCCUGGGUGAUGUGGGAUGUCACAAUUAUAAAAAUAACAAAAUCUUGUAUAUUUCAGGCGUAGGGUGCAGGGCUUGAAUAUACAUUUGGGCGUUGGGGGAAGUGCCUAUUUAAUAAAGUGGAAACUGAGAGUUUAAUUACAAAAAUUGUGCUAAGGGAUGAACGGGAGUUAACUCAUAUUCUGACGUACUCGGAGCCAAGUGGUAUAAGCAUGGUAUGGGACGAGCAGGCUUGGAUGCCUUAGGUAUGUGUUGACGGGAUUAGAAGGGAAUGAGCGCAUUCAUGCAUCUCAUUGCAUACAUUUUAUGUAUUUGCAAGAGCUACUCAUUUUAAUUAUUAUUUUAGUUGGUACUUUUGCUAUGAAUUAAUUUUGUAUACUAAUAUUUUAUUUCCGCUGGAUAUUCAAUACAUUUUAAUAAUUUAAAGAAUUGUUGUGAAAUCUCGUUCUUGGAUUUCACUAUUAUAAUCUAUGUAUUUGUAUUAUUCAUAUUUUAUAUUAUUUUUUGAGAAAUUAUAUUAAUUUAUUUGGAUUUAGAUUUUAAUUAAAUUAGUUACGAAGUUUGAAGUUUGGAAAGUAAUUAUCUAAAAUUUGUUGACCUUUCGAGGUCACAACAAGUAACAUAUUUGAAUAGAUCUUGAAACUACGAUUGCAAAGGCGAAAGCCGUUUGCGAGUUCGGAUUCUAAUGGUAUAGAUACAGACAUUUGAAGUUGUGUUACUAAACUAUAGAUUUUAAAUUUAUUUUAAACUCCCAUCUUGUGGGAAAUAGGCCUAUCAUAUAUUUGUGAGUUAAGGGAACCAAUCAGAAGGGGAAGAAGGAAGGAAAGGAAAGAGGGGAGGAAACACCCAAGCAACAUUGACCCGAUUUCAAACCUGACCCGGUUGUAUCUCUUCCGUCUGACGUCCGAUUGAGGUGAUUUUGGUGUCUAUGGAAAGCUCUUGGCGAACCCAACAUCUUUGUGGUAUUAUAUUUUUCAAUUUCUAACCCAAUUUUACAAACCGAAGCCACAAAGUCCACGAUUUUCCAGCGGUCUUCUCAUUUUUCCAUUGAAUCCGACAAUGAUUACCGUGGACCACCACCACCACCAAAAGACUUCCCUCAAGCUCAGGAAAAAAGCCCAUGCAUUGGUUGGGGGCAUCGGAGUUUGUUUUGGCAUCGAAUCAAGAACACCCAAUUCUAGGAUUCUGGCAGUUCGUGGGCGAUUUGAGGUGUUUUCCGGCCAAAUUGGACUUGGUCACAGGUAUGAAAGUUGCUCCACUCACUGUGAUCUAUUUUCCUGUAAAAUUUGGUAAUUUUUGGAAAUAGUUGAAUUUUCCGGCCGAGGCAGCCGACCGCCACCCGCAGCGGUGUGUGGCCAGUGGGUCAACGAUGUCUUUCUAAGUCCAAUUAGAUGCCCUGAAUUCAUAAUUGAUAUCCAUAUGAAGUGGUUUGAUUGUUUGAAAUUAGUUUUGUUGAUGCACAAAAUCAGUGAGGAUUUUGGUACAACAGAAAGUGUUAAGUUUGUGACAUUCGGUAGAUUGCUCCGGUCACUAGUGUUGAUAAGUAUGUAAAUGGAUAAAGACAGGAAAGCAAACACAAGAUGUACAUGGUUUACCCAGAUUGGCUAUGUCCACGGAGUAGAGGAGUUCCCAUUAAUUGUGAAGGGUUUACACAAGUACAUAGGUUUAUGCUCUCAUUUUGUGAGUACUAGUGAAUGAUUUAGUACAAAUGACAUUAGGAAAUAUUGUGGGAGAAUGAUCUCCUUUUAUAAAAGAGAUUUUCUAGCUUUGUUCUGAUAUUGACACGUGUUGUGUUGUGAUUGGCUUCUGAUGUUGACACGUAUCGCGCUAUGAUUGGCUUCUUAUGUCGCCACGUGUCGUGCUGUGAUUGGCCUCCUUAUUGGAGGGAAACUCUUCUGGGUCCUUGACGGUAUAACGUUGACCGGUGCUCGGUAGUUUCAGGAUUGGUCAAGUAUGGUACAGACAAUGCUCCCGUAAGUUCUCGAGUGAGGGAAGCUCCUCGGUUGGGGACUUGCAAGAUCUAAGCCGUUGAGUAAUCACGAAACUUCUAAGUACCGAAGUGUGGUAUCGUUUUCACUUGCCUUUUCUGUCUCAUAGGUAGAUGUGGCAUCUUCUCUGGAAGUACUUUUCUUCCAACCAAGGGUGGUAUCUUUAACCGGUGGAGAUGCACAAGGUAAUGUAUCAAUUUCACUUGAAGCUUACUUGUAGUUUCAGGCUUGGUCAAGCGUGAUACAAACCAUGUAGUAGGAGUCCCCCAAGUCGCCGAGCUAGGAGAUUUGCAGAAAGAGGUGACAGACAAGGUAAACAAUCUGAGUUCCAAACAAUCAGUCCCAGAUCAGAAGUUUGAUUUCGAGUUCUGGCUGAUUGUUUUCAUUCUCCCUAUCUUGUAGGCAACAAGAAGGAUAAAGAGAAGAAAAAGGAGAAGAGAUGAUAUGAGAUACUUUUGCUUUUGAAGAAGUAAUUUUCCACAGACUUAUUCUUAAAUUAGGUUGUAGGGUUUUCUGGUUUCCUUCAGAGUAUAAGGCCGACUCAAGAAUUUAAGGGUCAAAACAAGUCCAUCAAAUCUAGAGUACGUUCGACCCUAAUGAUAUGGGAUACUUUUAAUGUUGACAAAGUAGUGGAUGUGGCAUGGCGAGGCUUUGCUCUUUGGCGACGGCAUCAGCGAAAGGUUGUUGAAGCUUUUUGAGCUAUUCGGAUAGGGCAACGAUGUCGAUCUUGAAUUUGACUUAGACUCAUUUGUUUGGAUUAUGCGGCUCUGCAGGGAGGGCGUCAUGCUUUAGUGAUCUGUUCCAGCUCAUCGUUGAACCUUCUGCUUCAAUCUUUUGCAUCGCAGAAGUGGUGCGCAACCUUUGCAUUUGAAUGGUCCUUCAGAGCAUAAAUUCUCAAUGACUCAUCCAUGCUUGGCAGCUUUAGUGUAAAGAGCCAAUAUUGUAUCAAUUGUUCUAAGGUAUUUGCCGAAAGAAUUCACGACCUUGACAACAGUUGAGGAUGAGUACUCGAGAGCAAUGUUAGGCAAGCAACCAUGCAAAGAUUCCGGGCAAUCAGUUCCAGAUCGAAAGUUUGAUUUCAGGUUCUGACUGAUUGCGUUCUUUCUCCUUAUCCUGCAGGUAAGAGCAAGGGCAAAGGAAAAGACAAGGAAAAAGCAUGAUAUGGAUACUCUUGCUUUUAACCCUGAUGAUAUGAGAUACUCUUGCUCUGAUGUGGCUUGUUUGCAGAGGUAUUAUUGUGGGGAAAAGAAGCUGAGUAUUUCGAGGGACUCUGCUGAGAGUGCCCUCUCGGAUGUGAAGAAAAGUUGAGCAUUUUUUUUAUUUGCAGAUCUGCCUGGCUAUGGAGGAUGAAGGUCGACAUAUAUAGGAAUUGUCCCAACAGCAAGUAGUAACGUUGUUCCUUUACCCUUCUCGGUCAUAGCAAUGUAGUGGGAGCUGCAAGAUUCACGUGUUUUAACUUUGUCAGAGCACUUUGAAAAAGUGGUCUGUGGUAUCUGGAAAGCUGAUGUUGCAUGUGAAGAUUGCAGAUAAGCUUUAUCCAAGGAAAUCUGGCUCUGGAAGUUCGGAGAGCGGUGCCUCUUCGGUUUUCGAACAAGCAAUCAUGUCGGGGAUCUGGCUCUCGAGAUUCGGAGAACGGUACCUUUUUAAUUUUUAAGAAAGCAAUCAUGUUGGGAGUUUAGCUUUCGAGAUUCGAAGAGCAGUGCCUCUUCGAUUUUUGAGAAAGCAAUCUUGUUGGGAGUCUGGCUUUCGAGAUUCGGAGAGCUGUGCCUCUUUGAUUUUUGAGAAAGCAAUCCUGUUGUGAGUCUGGCUUUCAAGAUUCGGAUAGCGGUGCCUCUUCGAUUUUUGAGAAAGCAAUCCUGGUGGGAGUUUGGCUCUCGAGAUUCGAAGAGCGGUGCCUCUUCGAUUUUUGAGCAAGUAAUCUUGUUGGGACUGUUUUCUUGUUAUGAGUAAAUAUCUUCCAUGUCAAUAAGAUACUAAGAAGAAGUAAAAAAACAUAAGGCUGGUGGGAUUCCCUACAUCCAAAAUUGGUCAUGGCCUCACAUAACGCACUUUGGCAUGUUAUGAGGCAACAAAUUGCGCAGAGAAUGAAGCACCAAUGAAUCGUUUUAAACUAAUAGUGGUCCAAUUAUUUUCUGUCACAUUGACAAAAUCAAAUGCCAAAUUUCAAACCAUGACUAUCAUGACUAACAAAAUAUCAGAAAUUUCGGCCAUAAUUCGUUAAUGGCAAACCAACAAAUCAAAUUUGAAUUUAUAACUUUCUCUUCCCCAAACGUAAAACCCAACCGAGAAAACGUUAAUAUUAACGAACUCGAAAUUUCAUUCCACACUUUCAAGUUCCAAAAAUAAGCAGAUCAACGAAUUAUAAUUGUGAUUAUCACUCACAUUCUCCUAUUCCCAGACACAUUUAUUGGUAGAAUAAAUAUAAAAAUUCUAACCAUACUCAUUGGCAACAUAAAUAUUAUAAAUUUCCAGCCAAAACUUUAUGAUUGGCAAAAUGAACAUAAAAAUUUUCAACCAAAUUCAUGGAAAAUUUCCAAUCACACUCACUAGUUAAUGGAAAGAAAAUUAAAACUAAAUUUGUAACAUCCUACAUCGCCCAGGGGAAUGGAUCAUGUAAGCCUUAUAUGUAUAUUCCCAUCUUUUCCUAGCACGAGGCCUUUUGGGAGCUCACUGGCUUCGGGUUCCGUUGGAACUCUAAAGUUAAGCGAGUUCGCUCGAGAGCAAUCCCAGGAUGGGUGACCCACUGGGAAGUUCUCGUGUGAGUUCCUAGAAACAAAACCGUGAGGGCGUGGUUGGGGCCCAAAACGGACAAUAUCGUGCUACGGUAGAGUCGAGCCUGGGAUGUUGCGGGGGCCCGGGCCAGGAUGUGACAAUUUGGUAUCAGAGCCAAUCCCUGGCCGGAAGUGUGUCGACGAGGACGUCGGGCCCCUAAGGGGGGGUGGCUUGUAACAUCCCACAUCGCCCAGGGGAGUGGAUCAUGUAAGCCAUAUAUGUAUAUUCUCAUAUCUUCCUAGCACGAGGCCUUUUGGGAGCUCACUAGCUUCGGGUUUCGUCGGAACUCUGAAGUUAAGCGAGUUCGCUCGAGAGCAAUCCCAGGAUGGGUGACCCACUAGGAAGUUCUCAUGUGAGUUCCCAGAAACAAAACCGCGAGGGCAUGGUCGGGGCCCAAAGGGACAAUAUCGUGCUACACUGGAGUCGAGCCCGGGAUGUGGUGGGGGCCCGAGCUAGGAUGUGACAAAAUUCGCAACACCACCAAUAUAAAUUUUCAUUUUAUGGUUCCCUUCAUUUUUCGCAAUUAACUAAAUUGCCCACAAUAAAAUUAAAACCUUUUAAAUCUUCCUUUCGAUUGCUUCACUUUUAACUUACCUCAAAUGUAGCCACAAAUUUAAUAAAUUAGUGACUCGCACUUCCAGAGCACUACUCACAUUCCAUCAUCCAAGGGAGCGAAAUAUAUAUAUAUAUAUAUAUAUCACAACUUUAACGGUCAACGAAAUUAAACUUUAAAUAAUCACAUAGUUACAAGAAUAUAUGCUCGUCAUUAGUUUUUGUUCGUAAUAUCGAAUCCAACAAUGCCAACUCAAGACCAAGGCAACCAAAAUAAUCAAAUUUGUAAUUAAAAAUUUUCCCCAUCAAUUUUUCAUCAAUCAUAAAAAUUUCUCAUCUCACACAACUAGAAAUUCGUUUAUAUUAAACGAACUAAAAUAUCAUUUCAUAAUUUUAUUCAUGUCCACCCUAAAUAAAUGGAGAAAAUUUCAUAAUCUUUUCACCAUUCCAAAUAUAAUGAUCAACCAUAACCACAGUUUAUAAUUUCCUUCCCAUUCGAAAAAUCACCAUAUCUUCCAUAAAAAUUAAAGUUUCCAACCAAAUUAUCAUGGCCAUAAUAUUUUUAAAAUUUCUAGCUAUACUUAUCAUUGUCAAACCACUAAUUUCACCACCAUUUUCUUUUAUCUUCAUCAGUGACUAGUAGGCUGGAAAAGAUUGUACUAUACUUGGCCAAUACACAUCACACGUUCUUUUUCUUUCUUUUUUCUUUCAUUCUCACAGCCCACACAAAGAGCUUUUUUUCCAGAACACUGGGUGUUUGUGCCCAUUCAUUUCUCAUAUCCACGGGCCUUUUUUGCCCAAUUCCACAUCCACGGGCCUUUAUCGCCCAAUUUCACAUUCACAUGCCUUUUUCACCCAAUUUCACAUUCACAGGCCCUUUUUUUAUGGUGUGUUGGUACCAUAUAUUGGGCCUCGUCCUUGGGCCUCAUUACUGAGCCCAUAACCCAUGUAAGAGGGGAAAUAACCCUUAUUCUAUAAAAUGAACUCUCACUCACCCUCAUUCAGGGAGUCUUACAUCCAGAGACACAACAUCACUCUCAUACAAUUCUCCUCACAACAAUAGAGGGCAAUACCCUUUCAGCCAAACAGAGAGCAAAAUGGCAAAGGCUGCAUCCACAUAGAGCUCUAUUGCCGAUCUAUUGUAAUCCAUACAUUCAUAUAGUGAAAUGGAAUCAACAUCAGUGAGGACAUAUAGCCCAAACAUUGGGGUGAACCACGAUACAUCUUUGUGUUCUUGUGCGUUUGUGUGAUUCACGGUCGGAUUUAUAUUGGUCCAAGUUCCACCAGAUUUUAUGCAUCAACAGAACAUAUACUGAAGUCCAACCCGUGUUUUGGUUGGUUGAUGCAUGUUAAUUUCAAGCCUUAGUUUCAUUUCAUGGUAAUGAAAAUUUUGGAUCUUUAUUUUAAUAUGGUAGCGAGUCAUGAUGGUUGGAAUUCCAAUGAUUUUGGUUGAAAUUUUGCUAACUGAUUUGUCAAUUUUAGUGGUUUGGCUUGAUAUUGUGAUAUUUACUUAGCCACUGACGAAUUACAGCUAGAAUUUACGAUAUUUAUUCUGUCAAGGUAUGUGGCUAGAAGUUAUGGUAUUUUUACUUAUCAAAUAAGGUAGUUGGAAAACUGAGCAAAUGGGUGCGAUCACGAUAAAUUCUUCAUUGAUUUUUUUCUGAUUUGAAUAAAAUCAUGAACAUAUGUUAUAAUCUUAUUCGCCAUAGUAGAGAUGGUGGAAAUAGUGCUAGUUCUUGCUAGUAACUUGAUGAUUGAAAUCUCGGGGAUGAGAUUUAUUUUAACGGGGGAUGAAUGUAAUAUCCUGAAAAUUUAAAUAUAUGAAUUAUAUAUUCAUAAUUAUGAAAUGUGGAGAAAAGCAUAAAUGAAUCGAUUUAUGGUUAUGGAGAAAUUAAUUGAGAACUUUUUAGUUUUGGUUUUCGGAAAUUAUUAAAAUUUAAGUAUUUUCAUGAUUGAGAUUUUAUCUUAGUUUAUGAGAAUUUAUAUUAAGUUAUUCGAGUUAGAUUUAAAUUAAACUGCUUACGAAGUUUAAAGUUUGGAAAGUAAUUAUUUAAAAUCCGUAGACCUUUCGAGGUCACAAUUUAUAUUUUUGAAUAAAGCUCAAUCUCACGAAUGCAUAGGCGCAAACCGUUUGUGAAACGGAAUUAUAACGAAGAAGUUAUUAAUGUUUAAAGUCAGGGAUAUUUUGGUAAUUUUAAAUUCAUUUAGAAGACUCCGGAAAUCUGGAGCAAUAUGUUGUGCAGCGUGUGUGGCUGUGAUGAAUGUAAAAUAAAUGAUGGACGACUGAGAUUGAAAGAAGAGAAUAAAAAGGAGGAAAAGGAAGAAGGAGAGAAAGGGAGUGUGGCCAAUGGGAGAGAAAAGAAAGGAGGUGACAGGAGAGAAGUGGGGUGCGAGGGAUCCCUGACCCGUGAGUAGCAACCCGACCCGGACGGUUUUGCUUGCCAUUUUCGACCGGUUUUAGCCCAUUUUCCGGCGAAUUACACGAAAAUAACACUUGGAAAACCCUCAAUGGCCUUCCUUCUUCCUAUUAUACCCAAAAAAUCAAAGGAUUAGGACUUGAAAGUGGGAGAAUCCGCACGGUGGGGGUGCGGCGGGUGUGUGUUCGAGAUUAUCAAAUCCAAAGUUAACUACCUCCAAUUUCACCACCAUUAGACUUCCCUUGAGGCUAAGAACAAAGCCCAAACAACUAUAGGGGCGGCGAAGCACCGGAGGUGACGAUUCGAGGCCAUACCUGUAUAAGGUUCCGGCGGAUUUGGUCCAAAUUGGACUUGGCCGCAGAUAUAAAGUUUGCUCUACUCUUUGAGACCUUCAUUUCUGUAAUUUUUGAGAUUUUUUUUGAAAUAGUUGAAUUUUUCCGGCGAGUCGGGGCAGCCGACCGCCACCUACAGCGACGGGUGCGGCAACGCAUGACCAGGGAGCCGACAUUGUCUUUUUAUGCGAAUUUCGUUAUUCUAAUUAUGCAUUUGAGAUCUAACUAUUGUGGGUUGAAUAUUAAUACGAUUGUGGUAUAUGUUGGAUUUAAAUGAAUAUAUUCGGUUUUGGUUUGAAUUUUGGAAAUGUGAACUACGAAUGGUUUGAUCCCUGUUUAGGGUAUGUAGGCAGUCUAACGAGACAUUAGAUGAAGCCAUAAAAUAAGUGAAAUUAAGUAAUCGAGAAUUAAUAUUUAGUUGGAGUCUUGAUCUAAGAGAAUAAAUUAGAAAUAAAUUGGUAAGAUAAUUGAAUAAUGGUAUGUUUGGUGAGAGAAUUAUGGUUUAGACCAUUUUGUGGAAUUAAGGAAUUAAAAGCAAAGAACCUUAACCUUUGAAUAGAAAAUUAUCAAGAGUUUAAAGUGGGCCUAUCAUCAAAAUUAUUAUCCCAAAUAAAUUAUUCGGGGCCGGGGUGUUACAGACUCCUUCGAAGUUUUCAACGGCUUGAUUCUGAUUUCAUAAAGCAUGAUCCUAUACUUAAUGUUUAUAGAUUGUGAUCGAUGGUCUGUUUUUAUUGAAUAUUACAUACUUGUAUUAUUGUCACUCACUCGAGCUUCACAGCUUAUCCGAGUGUCUGAUUUGCCUAGUGUGUCAUUUCCUUGAUGUAGGCAUGAUUGUACAUAAGACAAGUCUGGGUGGAUUACGAGAAGUAGCUUGGUAUUUUAGUUCCGUUGAGUGGUCCAGAACCCGAGAUUGUUGGAUUCCGUUGAGUGGUCCGGAAUCUUUGCUCUUGCUCAUAUCCAUAAGGUUAGUCUAGAACCCUAGAUUCGAGUGGAUGGAAAUUACCCCUAAUAGACCUUGUGAAUAUAAAUUAGAAUUACCAUGUUAAUUACUCAUAAUCCAAGUAGGGAAUUAUAUAGAGUUCCUUAGUUAAAUUCAUGAAAUGAUAAGUUAUCGCAUUGAUUGAUUAACGUAAAUAAAUGCUAAGAUCAUGCAUUUUUUAUUCAUGAAUUGAUUAAUUGACAGGAUUGUGGAAUGACUUGGAUAUUGAUGUUAUUAUUAUGAUUAUUCUAGUUGAUCAAUGUGGCUUGAGAAGAAUAUUGUGCUUCGUCAUUGGUUCUUGAACAUAUUGCAUGGUAUGCAUUGUGAUAUAUUGUUGAGACAUAGCUAUUUAUGUGAAAAAUGUUCGAGUAUAGUGAAAUGGUGAACUACGAAUGGCUUGAUCCCUAUUGAGGGUACGUAGGCAGUCUAACAAAGAGGUUAGAUGCAGCCCUAAAGUAUACGAAAAAUCACUACUCAAUUUGAGGCUUGAGCGUGCUUGGUACAUAUUUUGGAGGCGGGGCAUGUUAGAUAUACAGAUACUUGGUGACAUCACGUGUCGAUCCUGGACGUAUGUCGGGAUCGGGGCAUGACAACUGUUACAAUUUAAUUAUUAUUUUGUUGGUACUUUUUGUUGUGAAUUAAUUUGUGCACUAUAGCUAUUCCGCUGCGUAUUUGAUAAAUUUUAUGUAAGAUUUUGUUAUCUAAUGUAUGUGUAAUCAUUAUAAUUUUAUUUUAUUUUCCACCAUAUCUUGGUUGUAGAAUUUAUUUCUAUAACUAAGAUAUGGCUCACACCUUAGCUCGUGAAUAGUCUUUAUUCACGGGUCGGGGCGUGACAAUUUCUCUAUUUUUAAACACGUUCAAAAAGUCUUAAGAGACGUGUAAUGCCGGUUAUAAAAAAGGUCAUUCGCAUGCGGAUAAUAAUGUGAUUAAAUUAGUUGUAAAAUGAUUGUUUUUUUUUACAUGUUCAAAACAUCUUAAGAGACGUGUAAUGUCGGUUAUAAAAAAAGGUCAUUCGCACGCAGAUAAUAAUGUGAUUAAAUUAGUUGUCAAUUGAUUGUGUUUUUUUUUGUAAUAAACGAUAUUAUCUACACUAAGGGAGGGGGUGGGUUUAGCCUCAUAAUGGGUUAGCAAUAAUGUGAUUCAAUCAGUUGUUUAUUAAAUAUUAUUUUCUCUAUUUUAAACAAGUUCAAAAUAUCUUAAGAUGCGUGUAAUGCUGGUUAUAUAAAAAAGUUUUUUGCACACGAAUAAUAAUAUGAUUAAAUUAGUUGUCAAAUGAUUUUUUUUUAACAAACGAUAUUAUCUACACUAAAAGGGGUGGGGGUGGGCUUCGCCUCACAAUGGAAUAACAAUAAUGUGAUUUAAUCAGUUGUUUAUUAAAUAUUAUUUUCUUUAUUUUUAAACACGUUCAAAACAUCUUAAGAGGUGUGUAAUGCUGGUUAUAAAAAAGAUCUUUCGCACGUGGAUAAUAAUGUGAUUAAAUUAGUUGUCAAAUGAUUGUUUUUUUUUAUUUUUAACAAACGAUAUUAUCUACCCUAAGGGUGAGGGGAUGGGCUAGCAAUAAUGUGAUUCAAUCAAUUGUGUAUUAAAUAUUAUUUUCCCUAUUCUUAAUGUAAAUUUUAUAAAGAUCGAUUUUAUUAUGUGAAUUCA
rnacentral:lncRNA from 1 species